UGCAGUCGAGCGGUAACAGGGGGUGCUUGCACCCCGCUGACGAGCGGCGGACGGGUGAGUAAUGCAUAGGAAUCUGCCCGAUAGUGGGGGAUAACCUGGGGAAACCCAGGCUAAUACCGCAUACGUCCUACGGGAGAAAGGGGGCUCCGGCUCCCGCUAUCGGAUGAGCCUAUGUCGGAUUAGCUGGUUGGUGAGGUAAAGGCUCACCAAGGCGACGAUCCGUAGCUGGUCUGAGAGGAUGAUCAGCCACAUCGGGACUGAGACACGGCCCGAACUCCUACGGGAGGCAGCAGUGGGGAAUAUUGGACAAUGGGGGCAACCCUGAUCCAGCCAUGCCGCGUGUGUGAAGAAGGCCCUCGGGUUGUAAAGCACUUUCAGUGAGGAAGAACGCCUGGUGGUUAAUACCCAUCAGGAAAGACAUCACUCACAGAAGAAGCACCGGCUAACUCCGUGCCAGCAGCCGCGGUAAUACGGAGGGUGCGAGCGUUAAUCGGAAUUACUGGGCGUAAAGCGCGCGUAGGUGGCUUGAUAAGCCGGUUGUGAAAGCCCCGGGCUCAACCUGGGAACGGCAUCCGGAACUGUCAAGCUAGAGUGCAGGAGAGGAAGGUAGAAUUCCCGGUGUAGCGGUGAAAUGCGUAGAGAUCGGGAGGAAUACCAGUGGCGAAGGCGGCCUUCUGGACUGACACUGACACUGAGGUGCGAAAGCGUGGGUAGCAAACAGGAUUAGAUACCCUGGUAGUCCACGCCGUAAACGAUGUCGACCAGCCGUUGGGUGCCUAGCGCACUUUGUGGCGAAGUUAACGCGAUAAGUCGACCGCCUGGGGAGUACGGCCGCAAGGUUAAAACUCAAAUGAAUUGACGGGGGCCCGCACAAGCGGUGGAGCAUGUGGUUUAAUUCGAUGCAACGCGAAGAACCUUACCUACUCUUGACAUCCUGCGAAUUUGGUAGAGAUACCUUAGUGCCUUCGGGAACGCAGAGACAGGUGCUGCAUGGCUGUCGUCAGCUCGUGUUGUGAAAUGUUGGGUUAAGUCCCGUAACGAGC
rnacentral:rRNA from 1 species